rnacentral:rRNA from 1 species
AUGUCCUACGGGAGGAAGCAGUCGAGGAUCUUCGGCAAUGGGCGCAAGCCUGACCGAGCGACGCCGCGUGUGCGAUGAAGGCCUUCGGGUUGUAAAGCACUGUCGAGGGGAGGAAGGCCCGCAAGGGCUUGACCUAUCCCUGGAGGAAGCACGGGCUAAGUUCGUGCCAGCAGCCGCGGUA